AUGUUUGAUCUUUAUGACAAAUCUUAUACCAUGGACUUAGAGGAUUUCACUCUUGCAUGCAAACUUCCAUCAUGGGAUAGUGUUAGGGAUCCCCCUAAAUCUGAAUUUAGAAACUUUCUUGCUAGUAUAACUGUGCGGGAAUCUAGAGAUAUAACGCAGGCUACCAUAGGGAGCAUUCACUUUCCCGCUAUACAUUAUUUUGCUCUCUUCAUCGGUAGAUGCAUAAAUGCUAAGGAUGAAGCAUGUCACAUGUGUGUCCCUGAUCUUAGCAUUCUUAGGAGUGCUGUGUUAGGAGACCAAUCUUAUCAUAUGGGAGCCAUUGUAGCUCGUAGGUUGCAUCAUAAUAGACAUAAUGGAAAUUUCUUUGGAGGAAUUUAUGCAACCCGCUUAGCUCAUUUUCUUGAGAUAGACAUUCGUGAGGGUGAUAUGGAGUUGCCUCCUGCAUAUUUAGAUUAUGACUCUAUGGCUUCGCACUAG
rnacentral:rRNA from 1 species